CACACACAGAGUGAAGUAACUUGCCUGCACUGGCCCGGGUUUGUAAGUAGCCGACUCAAGAUUCGAACCAAAUCCAGGCCUCACUGGAUCCACAUUUUGAGGUCUUUUCACCCUGAACCUGGAUAAGUACUCUUUCUUGAGGGCAGACUUGGAGACAAAUGAAGAUGACAAAUUCCAGAGGAAUGGAAAAAUUCCAGAUGUUCUCUGUUUAGAUUCAGAAAUGCUUCCUCUAUGGUAUCCCUGAACUACUGGCUGACUUGCAAAACAGAAACUUAUAAUUGACCAUCCUUCCAUAUGUCUUCUCAGGAUCCACUCACUCACAAUAAAAUAAAUUAAUAUUUAUUCAUUUCA